rnacentral:lncRNA from 1 species
UUCCUUAUUUUGCAGGUCUAGGUUCAACUGGCGCACCUGUUCCUUAAACGGUUUGACAACCUCGUCGCUGUUGGACAGUAAGUCAAUCUAAAAUCAUAAAAGUUCUUAGUUAUAGUAAAAGAUGAUAUCUACCGUCACAGAUGACAUUAUGAACAUCCAAGAAGAAUUCGCAAGCAGCAAUAUCAAGCAGAUACGCGUGACAUAUCUAAAGCAAAUUUUACGCGAGCCUGAUCAGUCAUUUGUUGCUACUUCAACACUAAACGUAUUAAAGACUUUCAACUGCAGCGGCGGCAGCAGCAGAAGUGAAGUUCAUGGAUUUAAACAGUGCAGUUUCCAUGAUCUAUAAACUUGAAUGCUUCGUCGUUCUGUGAAAAUAACGAAACUGGAGUUAUAAGGUUUAUAUUCGAAAAAAAACUCGUAAACAAUGUUUGCAAAUUAGGAAGAACAAUAUAAUUAGGUAAUUUAAGAUGCAACAAUGUUACAUCCUCACCAAACGCGAAGAUAGAAGCGACUGAGAAGGAUGAUGACAGAAAGCCGCAAGUUAAAUCGUUCCAUGUCUGUCACGGAUAGCCUAGUAUUGAACAAAUGUGCCUUAGCCUUCUGCUCGAGAUCGGCUUGUUCGCGCAGCUCAUUUAUUCGUCGUAACGACUUAUCUUGUGUAUCCGUCAGGACCUUCUGAAUUUUAUCCUUUUCUUCGUUAAGAUUACGACUGACUCAAGUGUUAAGUUACGACAAGAAAGAAUGAGGAGAGGUACCUAUCGUCGACCACCCCGUCAUCCUAAGCAUAAUUAUGGCAAAAAAAGCAACUUAACUUACACGCCAAAUUUUGUACAUCUAAGCACCUGUUUAAGCAGGUAUUCCUAAGGGAAAUCUCCUAAGAAUUCUGAGAGAAUUCCUAAGAAAUUCCUAAGAAAAAACUAUUUUAAUAUAAACCUGAAAUCGUCAAAGAAAAAUCAAGUUUGUACGAAACAGAAACCUUGGAGCAACAAGGAAGAGCUUCGGAAUGAUUGAUGUAGAGAUGCCGUCUAGAACACCAAGGAAUUACUAAUUUUUUUUUAUUAUCGCUUGAUUUGGU